rnacentral:sRNA from 12 species
AUUAGGAGGAACGCAAUGAUGCGAAGCAUCAUUUUUUAAAUGCGUUCCGACGAGCUGCCGCGACCAGAAGAGUCGCGGCGAUACCCCUG